rnacentral:rRNA from 1 species
AUAUCAAUAAGCGGAGGAAAAGAAACCAACAGGGAUUGCCUCAGUAACGGCGAGUGAAGCGGCAACAGCUCAAAUUUGAAAUCUGGCCUCUUUGGGGUCCGAGUUGUAAUUUGUAGAGGAUGUUUCGGGUACCGCCCCGGUCUAAAUUUCUUGGAACAGAAUGUCAAAGAGGGUGAGAAUCCCGUCUUGGACCGGUGGUAGGGCCCAUGUGAAGCUCCUUCGACGAGUCGAGUUGUUUGGGAAUGCAGCUCAAAAUGGGUGGUAAAUUUCAUCUAAAGCUAAAUAUUGGCCAGAGACCGAUAGCGCACAAGUAGAGUGAUCGAAAGAUGAAAAGCACUUUGAAAAGAGAGUUAAACAGUAUGUGAAAUUGUUGAAAGGGAAGCGCUGGCAACCAGACUUGCGCGCGGCGGUUCCCCCUUCCUUUUGGUUGGGUUACUCCGCCGUGUCCAGGCCAACAUCGGUUCUGGGGGUCGGUCAAAGGCCUUGGGAAUGUAUCUACCCUUCGGGCGUAGACUUAUAGCCCAGGGUGUCAUGCGGCCUCCCGGGACCGAGGAACGCGCUUCGGCUCGGAUGUUGGCGUAAUGGUUGUCAGCGACCCGUCUUGAAACACGGACCAAGGAGUCUAACAUCUAUGCGAGUGUUUGGGUGUCAAACCCGGAACGCGAAAUGAAAGUGAACGGAGGUAGGAAGCUUAGGCUGCACUAUCGACCGAUCCUGAUGUCUUCGGAUGGAUUUGAGUAAGAGCAUAGCUGUUGGGACCCGAAAGAUGGUGAACUAUGCCUGAAUAGGGUGAAGCCAGAGGAAACUCUGGUGGAGGCUCGCAGCGGUUCUGACGUGCAAAUCGAUCGUCAAAUUUAGGUAUAGGGGCGAAAGACUAAUCGAACCAUCUGGUAGCUGGUUCCUGCCGAAGUUUCCCUCAGGAUAGCAGUAACGUUUUCAGUUUUAUGAGGUAAAGCGAAUGAUUAGAGGCCUUGGGGUUGAAACAACCUUAACCUAUUCUCAAACUUUAAAUAUGUAAGAAGUCCUUGUUGCUUAAUUGAACGUGGACAUUUGAAUGUAUCGUUACUAGUGGGCCAUUUUUGGUAAGCAGAACUGGCGAUGCGGGAUGAACCGAACGUGAGGUUAAGGUGCCGGAAUGUACGCUCAUCAGACACCACAAAAGGUGUCAAUGCAUCCAGACAGCCGGACGGUGGCCAUGGAAGUCGGAAUCCGCUUAGGAGUGUGUAACAACUCACCGGCCGAAUGCAUUGGCCCUGAAAAUGGAUGGCGCUUAAGCGUGCUACCUAUACCUCGCCGUCAGGGUUGACAUGAUGCCCUGACGAGUAGGCAGGCGUGGAGGUCCGUGACGAAGC